GACGAACCGUGCAAACGUUGUUCGGAAUCACUGGGCUUAAAGGCGCGUAGGCGGGCAGGCAAGUCGAAGGUGAAAUCCCACGGCUCAACCGUGGAAGUGCCCCCGAUACUGCCUGUCUCGAGGGAGAUAGGGGCGUGCGGAACUUCCGGUGGAGCGGUGAAAUGCGCAGAUAUCAGGAGGAACACCGAUGGCGAAGGCAGGUCUCUGGGCAUUAACUGACGCUGAGGAGCGAAAGCGUGGGGAGCGAACAGG
rnacentral:rRNA from 1 species